ACGUCAAGAAAGGCUUUCACUAUUCGGCUCUGAAAGCCUGGAACGAUAUUCCCAUCAAUAUCAGAGAGCUCCUUACACUUCAAAUUCAAAUUCAAAAAGCAAUUGAAAAGUUAUUAUACGAGCUGAACACAACAUAAAACACGACUCCCUUGAAGAGCAGCUGCUAUAAGAUAGAUUACUGUACAUAUUUUAGCUUUAACUGUAGAUAAAUUAUAUUAAUGUAACUAGGGUAUUUAUUUUCUUACUUGGUAUUUAGUUGUAAGCUAAAGGAAUUUGUGUAUAAAGAAUAUAAAUAAUUACCCCCGUCCCAUUCUCAUCACAUGACAUCUGCGGGACUGAGGCUACUGGAAUAGAGGGCUCAGGAAGGCUUGCUAGCAAUGAUGUAGAUUAUGUCAUUGCUUGCUAGUGGUAGUUUAUCUUCUCGUUGAUUUUGGCGUGCAGUUUAAGUUUCGGCUUGAAAGGUUAUCUGUAGACAGAUAGAGCAGAGAGUUCAAGUGGACGUUAAAAAUGGCUCAAAGUAAAGAACCUCAACCCUUGAUGCUUCCACCUCUACGCUGCGGCGAGGUAAGGCUGAUGUUUAAUAAUGAAUUCAGUAUCGCGACGAGUGUUGAUGUGUUGAGAAGAGCUGAUGCUGGUUCACUGCUGCACAAUAUAUAUCUAUGGAUAGUUAGAGAACACUACAAAACAAUGUCUGCGGAGUAUUAUGUCGAUAGGCAUCCUGGAGGCAUUCAACAUAUCAUUAACUUCCUUCGAGAUGGAAGUUUACCAAGCAACAUCUUUGAAGAUGACCAGCUUCGGACAUGGAUAAAAGAAGAUGCCAUAUUUUACGAGCUCAAGACAAUGCUGAAAAAGAUUGACGAUACAGUUGACAAGUCUCCGAAAAAUAAUUGAUGAGCCUAUUGUGACUGUUCAUUUUCAGUAAUACCAACUUCUAAAUAAUAUGCAAAUUUGUAAUGUUGCAUUAAAAAUAUUGAAGUAUCUUAAUCGGAAAAUUUGAGAUUAAUCGUAAAUCCAAGUUGUAUUUCUAAUGCUUAUUUUCAUGAGAGAAUAACAAUUUUUAUGCAGAGCGUUCUCUCAAAUCAGAAACAAAAUAACAGAACCGUAUACAGCUAACACCUCUAUAAGCGGACACCUCUAUAAGACAGACACCUCGUGAAGACGGAUACUUGUUUGAAGUCCCUGCCAAACCGUAUAGGAAAAGCAGUAUGUUUGUCUUCUAUCACACGGACACCUCGCUAAGACGGACAGCGGACGCAAUUUCUUUGUCCCCAACACGCAAAAAACCGGACAAAAAACCUUUGCAAUAAAGCGGACACUGAUAAAACAACUUUUGUUUGAAAGCACUGAUUUGAAGAUAAAUUCCUCAGAUAAAGUUUACAACACAAAAUGUUUUAAUGCGUUUAUUGCAAAGGCAUAUCCUAUGUUACUGGCUUUUUUCUUUUCCGAGACUCUCGCUCUUUGUUCAUUUCGACCAAUUUUUUGCAAAGUUCUUUUUCUUUUUCAAUUUUUUGCAACGGCCAGUAACAAAACACCUCGUUUUUCAGAUCAAACUGUUUUUAGGUGAUGUCACAACAUUGUUCAAUAUCAGAUUUUACAGUACGUCAGCUUCAGCUUGUUUCUAAUUUGUUCUUAACUUCUGAAAUUUUUAAAUCCGACCUGUAUAAACAGCAUACAAAAUACCCCCCCCCCCUCCUCCGCAUCUUCCAGACCCUACACUUUCAUUCUAAAAAGGGUGUGAAGUGAGGUUGUUUUAAUAGUUUUGUAAAGGAAAAGGUUGUAAAAAAUUACUGUGCUGGAGACGUGCUCACACAUGUGAUGUGGGAAAUUAGUAACUUAUCAGUACGUAUAGAUCUAGUUAUCCGCAUGUUUAAGGAACCAAAUUAGAUACUUACAUAUACAGUAAAAUUAAUAGACUCGUGGAAACAGAAAUUAAGGAACCAUAAAUGCACACAACAUCCUGCAUGAUGCACAGGCACAUGGUUAAAUCGCAGUAAAAACUGUAAGUCAAGCAGAUUGACACUGUAUGCUUGUGUCAAUAACAAAUGUAAAAUACUUUCCUAUUUACUGUAGCGAAUAUGAAUCAAAUAAUGGCGGAAAAUUUUGCAAAAAGGGCGUUUCUCUGCAUUUGCGAGUGUUUGAAGGGCGUGGUAAAAAAAAUUUCUGGGGGCUGCGCCCCAGACCCCCCUGCUUUUCCGGCCCUGGGUACGCCACUGCGUAGAACAAGGGAAGAGCAAGAAGACUUCAAUCAAAGGUGAUGCACAACAAAUUUCGCGAGGAAAAGCUGCGAGACUUAAAAAAGGAUUCAGCUACGAUACAAAGCUUUUUUAUCAGGCAAAAGCCACAAACGUCACAAAAAAAGCAGGGUCUUGCUCUUGCUCCUUUCAAUAAACUCAUACAAGUUUUUGUAAAUUUAUUUUUAGGCCUAUACUAUCACAAGUCAAAUGCACCCCCGCCCCACAGGGGUAUGGUGCUUCACGAUAAAAUUUCAACAGGGGUGCCCAUUUUUUAGUGUCAGAAAUUGACAAAUCGAUUUUUUUGGGCUGCUGAAAAUCAUUCUGGUUUUCCGGAGGAUUAGAAAAUUAUCUGUCACAAGUGGAGUGUGAUAGAAGCUUUUCCCCUUUAAAUAUAUAAAGAACAGAUUACAUAGUAAUUUUUGGCAGCCAAACCUGGAGUCCUUCAUGUUAAUGUUCUUAGAAAAACACCUGUUAGAUGACAUCCUGAACUAUCACAUUAUCAAUAUAUAAGUUACUAUAUUUAGAAAUAAAGUCAAACCAAGGAGUUAAAUUUUUUGUUUAUUUACUGUUUAGUCAACAAAUGACAUAUUUAUCAUGUUCUCUUAAGCAUAUUCUGUUAUGCUUAUUCACUUGUUAUGUUAUCCAAGCAUUCAACCAUGCACAAAAUUACUGAAUUUAAAAACUUGUUUUCCUUGCAGACUAACAUUUACUUGUAUUUUCCGAGGAGAUUUUUAUUUGCUAUUAUUAUGGGCCGGUUUGAUCAAAAUUUGCCCGGGCCAAAAAAAUUAGACAGUCCGCCCCUGGUUGAUGGAUACAAACAAGAUAUCAAGUAACCUUCACUCCACUUAAAGGGGAACUGAAGUGAAAAAUGAAAAUCAUUCAAAAAGUAGUUUUCAUCGUGCUGAUUUCGGAUAUCGACACGAAAUUAGUGUUUUUCUUUUCGUUUUCCUGCAUUUAACGCGCAAAGUGUGAAAUUUCUCCAUUUCCGUGGCGGAGAGGUCUGGAGACAAGUUUCAGGCGCUGACGUAAAGUCGUGGACACGUGCCCCGAACCUAACGAAAACAACAGUGUAGUAGAGUGAAUCGGAGGGAGGGAAUUUGGUUAGUAGUUAAAGUUUCAGAUCGCAAUUUUCACGACAGCUCUUCAGGAAUGACAACAGACUUAAGAUCGAGCGACGAUGAAGUGUUUGGAGCAUGUGGUGGUGAAGUACUUGCCCUACCAAGGGCGAACGGGACCUGCGAAAGUGGCGAUGAAGAUUAGCCUAGGCCCGAUGAGAUCCCAGAGGAUGAGGAUGAAUUAUCUCCCACGACGUGCUUGUUUUGUUGGUAGAAAUGAGGAAGUAAAUAAAUGGUAUCUACAAACAGUGGCCGAUCAAUGUAUGGUUUGCUGGUUUUGGGGUAUUUGUGCUGGAAUAACUGGACAACUUUAAGUAUGCAUUUAUCACAAAUGUAAAGAAAAUAACUUUAUUCAAAGAAGACAAGAGUUUCAAAAUUCUGCAGAGAGACAAUGAAAAUGCAAAAAUCAGCUACCUACUACAUAUACAGUGGAGAACAGGGUUAUAUACAGGGGUUAUUCAAAAGGACCAGACUUUUUGUUCAAAAUAGCAAGAAGAGAAAUUUGUUGAAACUAGUGGGACAAUGGCCAAAUCUUGUCAGCCCUAGGCCAAAUCACUAGAUUAGUCACAUCAAGGGGUGGGGGGGAUUCAGCAAGGCUUGAUAUUUUUAAGAUUCCUAAGGUGUACUUUUCAACAUAGUUCACUCACAACAAAAUGUGUAGAAUAGUUUGGAUUUGAUCAAGAUUUUCUCUUACAAUAAUGGUCCUGUACCACCUGCUUGGUAACAUUUUUUAUAAAUAAUCAGAGGAAAAUGUUUUACCUUCAGGGUACAAUGUUCUUUUAAUGUAUUCUGUCACUGCCUGUUGUUAAGAUACACUGUUUUUAAAUUUUGAGAAUGAAGUUUUUUUGUGCCCAAUGGUUGUAUUUUUUUGAAAUUCGCUUCAACUCAACAUUUAAUAAACUUGGAAACAUAUACAUCAUUUAAUGGUUGUGCUUUAAAUCCUCCCCCUUUAUGUACAUCCUGGUAUGGAUUGUUUUUUAUGCCUGGAGUUAAAUCAGAAAAUGCUUUGAUAUCAUGUUCUGUAGACAAGGCAUGAGAAAUCAUGUUUGAAGGGGUAUUUCUGAAGUGGGGGACCACUUUUAUCAUUUUCUGCAAGUAAAUUGUGUGGGUUUGCCAAGUUUCAUGGCUGUAUAGUUAACAUACUAACGUAUUCUGAGUACUGGGCACAAGUAUCCAGUCUAAAAAUAGUACAAGGGUAGUUCUGAGGAUGGGGACCAUUUUUAUCUUUUUCAGCAAGUCAAAUUGUGUAGAUUUCCCAAGUUUCAUGGCUGUAUGGUUAACAGAAAUAUAUUUACCAUACUAUUGUAUUCUGAGUACUGGGCACAAGUACCCCAGUCCAAAAAUAGCAAGAGGGGCAUUUCUGAGGGUGGGGACCAUUCUUAUCAUUUUCAGAAGCCAAAUUGUGUCGGUUUGCCAAGUUUCGUGGCUGUAUAGUUAACAGAAAUAGAUUGACCAUACUGACGUAUUUUGAGUACUGGGCACAAGUACCCCAGUCUAAAAAUAGCACAAGGGGCAUUUCUGAGGGUGGGGACCAUUCUUAUCAUUUUCAGCAAGUCAAAUUGUGUCGGUUUGCCAAGUUUCAUGGCUGUAUAGUUCACAGAAAUAGAUUGACCAUGCCAACAUAUUCUGAGUACUGGGCACAAGUACCCCAGUCCAAAAAUAGCACAAGGGGCAUUUCUGAGGGUGGGGACCAUUCUUAUCAUUUUCAGCAAGCCAAAUUGUGUCGGUUUGCCAAGUUUCGUGGCUGUAUAGUUAACAGAAAUAGAUUGACCAUACUGACGAAUUUUGAGUACUGGGCACAAGUACCCCAGUCCAAAAAUAGCACAAGGGGCAUUUCUGAGGGUGGGGACCAUUCUUAUCAUUUUCAGCAAGCCAAAUUGUGUCGGUUUGCCAAGUUUCGUGGCUGUAUAGUUAACAGAAAUAGAUUGACCAUACUGACGUAUUUUGAGUACUGGGCACAAGUACCCCAGUCUAAAAAUAGCACAAGGGGCAUUUCUGAGGGUGGGGACCAUUCUUAUCAUUUUCAGCAAGUCAAAUUGUGUCGGUUUGCCAAGUUUCAUGGCUGUAUAGUUCACAGAAAUAGAUUGACCAUGCCAACAUAUUCUGAGUACUGGGCACAAGUACCCCAGUCCAAAAAUAGCACAAGGGGCAUUUCUGAGGGUGGGGACCAUUCUUAUCAUUUUCAGCAAGCCAAAUUGUGUCGGUUUGCCAAGUUUCGUGGCUGUAUAGUUAACAGAAAUAGAUUGACCAUACUGACGAAUUUUGAGUACUGGGCACAAGUACCCCAGUCUAAAAAUAGCACAAGGGGCAUUUCUGAGGGUGGGGACCAUUCUUAUCAUUUUCAGCAAGUCAAAUUGUGUCGGUUUGCCAAGUUUCAUGGCUGUAUAUUUCACAGAAAUAGAUUGACCAUGCCAACAUAUUCUGAGUACUGAGCACAAGUACCCCAGGCUAAAAAUAGCACAAGGGUUUUUUUCCCAAAAUGGUUCUACAUUCUAUCUUGUUACGCAUAUCGAAUUCUGUAUUUUCACCAAGUUUCAUGCUUUUAUCACAAUUUUCACGAUUGUUACCUGUCAUGAACCUUAUCAAACUCACUACUACAUUUCAUCAAAACAUCUCUUCGUGUCCACCACUUUACGUCACAAGGUCACGUGACACAGUGGUCUGACCGCGUUCUCGCUCCGCCAUCGAUGAGGGCAAAUUUCGACUUUAAAAACUUAAUAACUUAAAAACUACAUAACGUAUUUAAAAAAUUCAAACGGUUUUUGAAUCAGCACGGGAACUUUUAUCAGUGGUAAAAAAAUCGUUUUUCAUUUCAGUUCCCCUUUAAGUGGAGUAAAGGUUACUUGA